UGUUCCUUCCUGAUGCUCCAGAGUCAGGUAACUCACGGGCUGAGGACAACAUCAGCUUCCCCUCUCUCAAUUCCUCUGCCCUACAUGGCUGGAGAAAGCAUGUGGUAGGCUCAGGGAGAGAAGAAGAGAAUGUGGCAUAUAUUGCUGCUCUGGUGUCCCUUCACACUGGUGACACUAGUGGCAUCUGGCCAUCUUAGGCACAGGCAAUGGGCUUCUCAGAGGUCUACCAGAUGGCUCAAAUUCAGUCUUUGUUCCAGAACAAACAGUUUGUCUAGGCCAGUGACAUCCUUUAAGGGACUGGUCCUGUGGGUUAGCAGCCAGCUUGCUGGGGUAGCUGAAACCUAAAGAAUGCUUCACCGUGAUAAAUGAGCACAAUUAAAAAGCAGUCACAGGGGCCAGGCCUUUACAGUCCAGAAGACAGUAAUAAUUAGCUAAUAGCCCAGCACAUGGAGCCCCUCCAGGGUAAGAACAUACAGGGGCAUAUUCUACCUGCUUUUAAAUAUUUUUUUUUUCCCCUCGAAAGCUAUCCUUGCUUGGUACUAAGCUGACAUUCUGGAGAAGGUGUUAAGCCUUCCAAGCUAGCAGAAGUGGGGUCAGUGAAGCUACAGAUACCCCUCCUUGAUCGGUUCAUGUCUUAUAUUCCCUCGACAGGAGACAACCAAUCCCCCUUCUCUUUGUUUUCUGUGGUUGCUGGGCAUGUCGGAGCAUAUGGAGCUACAACAUUCAUAUACAGAGUCCCUAUAAGAAUUGAUAUAUGGAGCAUCUCAUUCCUCAAAUGUUAGUGUGUGGACCAAUCAGCCAGAGAACUUGAGUGCUCACAGAUGCUUCUUAAGUUCUGGGGUAAGGCAGGAGAGCUGCAGGAGAGGGGAAGUCAGAGGUGCGAAUACCUGGACCAUAUAUUGAGGAGCAAGGCCACAGGAGUCCUACUGAGCCUGGAAAUCAAAGGCUCUCUAGACUCUGUGAUGCCAGACACAAUUCGUUUCCUAAGACUAUGCAAAGGACCAUAAAUGUCACUCCCGGGCUCCCAACUCUAAGUCCUACCUCACCAUGUUAAUUUCAUGAUGUGUUAAAUGAGAGCCGGAGAGCUUCCAACUGGCGGAUCUACAAUAAGCUACUGUGAUCGUCUUAGCUCCACGGAACAGGAAAUAAUGUUUCCAGGAUUGAAGACAAUACCCAAUCUUGGGUUCUGCCAUGUGAACAGGGUACCCAAAUGGCUUCCAAAUGCUUUUAACUGAUCCAAGAAGUGCCAAUUUCCAGAGGACUCUGCCAACUUUCCACUUACAGCUCGAGUCUUGUACAUUAACCUAUGACGCAGAAUGCUUGGGGAAAACGCUUUCGGGAAAAUUGGACUGGUGUGUAAGCCAUCCACCCCAGCAUCCAUCCUCACAGGUAACCAGGGCUUCAGUGGACUCCAGGGUUUGCUGCAGACCUCAUGUUCCCUCCCUGAAGAGGCUGCUGGCCUUCCUCCAUCAGAAACCAUCCUCUCCCAGGGUUCCUUUGUUCACUUCCUGCAAUAGCUUUUGAUGUUCCUGGAAGCCUCACAUAAAUCUAGCAGGCUCCGAGGUGCAAUAAGACUAAGACAUCUAUCUGGAGGAGUGUUGCUGCAGGAGCCUGGCAGACUACCACACCACGCACACCAGCCGACAUGCCUGAAACACCACAACUCAGGUUAGAGUUGCCGCUAUGCUACGCAUGCCGCUGCGUGCUAUGAACUCAGGGUUUGUGUUAGCCAUCCAUACAAUGUCUUCUGAAACAUAAUGGCUUAAUUACAGAAAACAAAACUUUCGAUAUUUUUGUUCCUCAUCAUGCAAAUGUUAAACUACUGCAUCUAUGGGUUAUAUCAUAUUUAACUACAGUUAUAUCAUAUUUAACUCUAAGAAUCAAUAUGUGAGUUACUUACUUCAUAAAAACCACUGCACAAAUGUCAGUUUGGAUGGAAGGGAGUGUUUCUAACAAUUUCUGAAGUUACCCUAAGCCUGUGUCUGCCAUUUUCAAAAACUAUGUAU